GAUUUGGGGGGUUACUCCUUCUAAGCUAAAUAUCACCACGAGACCGAUAGCGAACAAGUACCGUGAGGGAAAGUUGAAAAGCACUCUGAAUAGAGAGUCAAAAAGUACGUGAAACUGCCUAGGGCUCAAGCCCGUUGAACUCGAUUAUCCGCGGCGGAGAUAUUCACCUGCGGUUGGCCCUCACCCGGUCCGCCGCAGGGCACUUACCUCCUGCCUCACGAGGACGUUGCGAUCCAUUACGAAACGGUUAGCCAGCGAUGGCUACAGGCCCGGCACCUGCCCCUUGGCAUCUGGUUGCUUGUCCCACAGUAGCGGCGCUCAGUUCGGAAGGCCUGCGCCGCAACCUGGGGCUUACCGGUGCGUGGUGUGCAGCCGGGCGCGUGAUGGAUUCCCGCGUACACCGUCUCGGGAGAGGCUCGCCUCUCCCACCUCCACCAAGGUGACGGACUGUCGAUCGGCAACGAUAAAAUCGAGGUACCUUCGGGACCCGUCUUGAAAACCGGGACCAAGAGUGCUGUCCGGGUUGGUCCCGCGGCGGCGGGUUGGCCGGCGAGAAGCCUCUGCGAGCGGGGCUAUUCUCCCGCGGAAGCGCUACGGGGUUUGCGGCGAAUAGGUCGGUACCCACCCGACCCGUCUUGAAACAGGACCAAAAUU
rnacentral:rRNA from 1 species